UAGCUCAGUUGGUUAGAGCGUCGUGCUAAUAACGCGAAGGUCGCGGGUUCGAUCCCCCC
rnacentral:tRNA from 1 species